UGUUACACCUUUAUAUUAUUAUGUUUAUGAAAUCAUGUUAUGAAAUUAUGUUAGAGACUGACAAUUAGGAUCAAGGAACUAUUAGUUCAUCAGUUGCCCCCGGUGUAGACACCAAUAGUAACUGGGUAGUAGGAAUCCACUGAGACGAAGUGACUGUUCUCAUCCCCCACUGAUUUGAUUUCAGAUAAGCAGGUUGUUCGAGGAUCGAGGCCUUGAGGCAUGAAGAUUCGGAUACGUGGAUUAUGUUAUGAAGCUGACGUUAUGUUAACCUUAUAUUUGUAUAAGAUUCGGUUCAUUUAUGUUCAGUUGUUAGCUCGAUCAUGUAUUCAUUUGUUGGAUUUUGUAAUCCUAUUCACGUAUUUGGUCUUUGUGUAAAUGAAAUUAAUGUUUCUCGAUUCAGUUAUGUUCACUCUUGCGCUAUUCUAGAUAAAUCGACAAGGGGUGUUAUAGCUCGCACUUCGGAGGCUUAAGCAUUGUUUGUAUUACGGAGAAUGUCGCAUUCUCGUAUUUAAAUGUCGCAUUCUCACACUUCGGAGGCUUAAGAAAUCGAGAAAUACGGUGAAAAGAUUGGAUUUUAAAGAAAAAAUCUUGAAUUGGGUUUUAAUU
rnacentral:lncRNA from 1 species